ACCGUACGUAGCAGAGCAUCAGUUUCAUAAACAAGUCCAUACGUACUACUUCACCUUCAAGCAGCAGCAGCAGCCAUGGCAGCACCCACCGUCGUCUCCUUGCUCGCCAUGGCCGUGGUGGCGAUAGCAGCGCUUCAAGCUACGGCUGCCGGUCCGCCGCCACCGCCACCGUACGGCAGGCCGACGAACUGUGUUCAGACGUUAUACGAGGUCAGCAGCUGCGCUCCGUUCCUGUCGACCGGAACGGUUAUCUCUGGCCCUCCGGCGAGCUGCUGCGCGCCCCUGAGGGCGGUUCUCAGGACGCCGGCAUCCAUCUGCCUCUGCCACGCCAUUGGCGGCGAGAUCAACGAGCUCUUGCGCAUUAACAUCGACCCCAUCCGACUCGCCUUGCUGCCUGUUGCCUGCUGGGCGAUCGUGCCGCCUCAGCUCCCUGCCAUGUGUUUCGUUGGACCUGUGCCACCCAUAUUCAACAUCCCGACUAUGUCUCCGUCGCCGCCGGUGACUCCUCCGCCACCUAUGCCUCCGGCGUCGCCGAUGAGGCCUCCGCCCUGGGCCUCGACGCCUCCUGGCCACAUAUAGGCCUACUAGGCCUCAACGCCUCGUCUAGACGUCUACCUCAUCCAUCCACAACGACCAGCUUGGCCAAACGCCUUGCUUCGGAUGUUUUACUUCUGAAGUACUAUUCAGGGAACCCACUGGCUAAGGUUUGGGCUCAACUCCAAAGAAAUGAAGACGAUGCUGAAGCCAUUAGAAGCCCUUGCAGGAAAUUGGAAACGGUGGCCAUGCAGAUUUUGCUUAUUUUGGUUGGAAGUUCUCAAAUAGGAUUUCAUGCUAGUAUUCCUUGACUGUAUCCUAGUUUGUUGUGGAGGUUUGUCCCUCCAGUUUGGUGUAGCAGUGUUUGCUAGGUUUCUUUGUUGGUCAUAGCCUCCUAGGAGGUGAAGGCUGGACUUCUUUUGUUCCAUUAUCAAAAAAAUAUAUUUAGAGGUGGAUUUAGAUAAUAUUGUUAAAAGCAGUGGCAGAACU